UGCAGUCGAACGCGAAAGGGACUUCGGUCCUGAGUAGAGUGGCGAACGGGUGAGUAACGCGUGGGUGACCUACCCUCGAGUGGGGGAUAACGUUCCGAAAGGGACGCUAAUACCGCAUGACAUUCCUGGUUUGAAGACUGGGAAAUCAAAGCCGGGGACCGCAAGGCCUGGCGCUUGAGGAGGGGCCCGCGUCUGAUUAGCUAGUUGGCGGGGUAACGGCCCACCAAGGCGACGAUCAGUAGCCGGCCUGAGAGGGCGGACGGCCACACUGGGACUGAGACACGGCCCAGACUCCUACGGGAGGCAGCAGUGGGGAAUUGUUCGCAAUGGGCGCAAGCCUGACGACGCAACGCCGCGUGGAGGAUGAAGGUCUUCGGAUUGUAAACUCCUGUUGAUCGGGACGAAAAGCUUCAACCUAAUACGUUGAAGACUGACGGUACCGGUUGAGGAAGCCACGGCUAACUCUGUGCCAGCAGCCGCGGUAAUACAGAGGUGGCAAGCGUUGUUCGGAAUUACUGGGCGUAAAGGGCGCGUAGGCGGCCUUCUAAGUCGGACGUGAAAGCCCCAGGCUUAACCUGGGAACUGCGUCUGAUACUGGGAGGCUUGGAUUCGGGAGAGGGAUGUGGAAUUCCAGGUGUAGCGGUGAAAUGCGUAGAUAUCUGGAGGAACACCGGUGGCGAAGGCGGCAUCCUGGACCGAGAUCGACGCUGAGGCGCGAAAGCUAGGGGAGCAAACGGGAUUAGAUACCCCGGUAGUCCUAGCCCUAAACGAUGAGUGCUUGGUGUGGCGGGUAUCGAUCCCUGCCGUGCCGAAGCUAACGCAUUAAGCACUCCGCCUGGGGAGUACGGCCGCAAGGCUGAAACUCAAAGGAAUUGACGGGGGCCCGCACAAGCGGUGGAGCAUGUGGUUUAAUUCGACGCAACGCGAAGAACCUUACCUGGGCUUGAACUGUAGAUGACAUCCGGCGAAAGUCGGCUUCCGCAGGGACAUCUGCAGAGGUGCUGCAUGGCUGUCGUCAGCUCGUGUCGUGA
rnacentral:rRNA from 1 species